rnacentral:rRNA from 1 species
ACGGGGGGGGCAAGCGUUGUUCGGAAUUACUGGGCGUAAAGGGCUCGUAGGUGGCCAACUAAGUCGGACGUGAAAUCCCUCGGCUUAACCGGGGAACUGCGUCCGAUACUGGUUGGCUUGAGUUUGGGAGAGGGAUGCGGAAUUCCAGGUGUAGCGGUGAAAUGCGUAGAUAUCGGAAGGAACACCCGUGGCGAAGGCGGCUUCCUGGCUUCAGACUGACGCUGAGGUGCGAAAGCGUGGGUAGCGAACAGGA